rnacentral:misc_RNA from 1 species
GCAAACUUGGUCAUUUAGAGGAAGUAAAAGUCGUAACAAGGUCUCCGUUGGUGAACCAGCGGAGGGAUCAUUGCUGAGCGCUACGGCUCCCAAACCCUUUGUGAACCUUACCACCGUUGCCUCGGCGCGGCCGCGCCGGGGGCCCUCGAACCUCUUAUUUUGCCAGUGGACAUCUCUGAACCCGGCGGCCGGGCGGGACCUAGCGGUACCGCGCGCCGCGGAAGCAAGAAGAAGAACAACUUUCAACAACGGAUCUCUUGGCUCUGGCAUCGAUGAAGAACGCAGC